rnacentral:rRNA from 1 species
CCUACGGGAGGCAGCAGUGGGGAAUCUUCCGCAAUGGGCGAAAGCCUGACGGAGCAACGCCGCGUGAUCGAAUGAAGGCCUUCGGGUUGUAAAGAUCUGUUGACAGGGACGAAUAAGCAAUGCAAAUAGCUUUGUGGAUGACGGUACCUGUUUAGAAAGCUCCGGCCAACUACGUGCCAGCAGCCGCGGUAAUACGUAGGGAGCAAGCGUUUUCCGGAAUUACUGGGCGUAAAGGGCGCGUAGGUGGGCGCUUAAGUCAGGUGUGAAAACUCCGGGCUCAACCUGGAGACUGCACUUGAAACUGGGUGUAUUGAGUGAAGGAGAGGAGAGUGGAAUGCCUGGUGUAGCGGGGAAAUGCGUAGAUAUUAGGAGGAACACCAGUGGCGAAGGCGACUUUCUGGACUGUGACUGACGCUGAGGCGCGAAAGCGUGGGUAGCGAACGGGAUUAGAUACCCUAGUAGUC